rnacentral:siRNA from 1 species
AUGGAUAGAGAUGAGUGAUGGAUA